rnacentral:rRNA from 1 species
UACAGAGGGUGCAAGCGUUAAUCGGAAUUACUGGGCGUAAAUCGUGCGUAGACGGUUACAUAAGUCGGGUGUGAAAGCCCCGGGCUCAACCUGGGAAUUGCAUUCGAGACUGCGUAGCUAGGGUGCGGAAGAGGGAAGCGGAAUUUCCGGUGUAGCGGUGAAAUGCGUAGAUAUCGGAAGGAACACCAGUGGCGAAAGCGGCUUCCUGGUCCAGCACCGACGUUCAGGCACGAAAGCGUGGGGAGCAAACAGG